ensembl:lncRNA
CGGAAACAUCGGUUACAUACUCGUAUUCAACUUUAUACAUAUGUUAAUUUGUAGCACUUUUAUAUUUAAUCACUAUUUAAAAAUAAGAAUGAAAACCUACAUCAGUUGUGUAGUGCUUUUAUGUAGCAUUUGUGUGGCAUUAUCCAUCCAUCCAUCCAUCCAGCUUCCACCGCUUACUCCUUUUCAGGGUCGCGGGGGAACCUGGAGCCUAUCCCAGGGAGCAUCGGACACAAGGCGGGGUACACCCUGGACAGGGUGCCAAUCCAUCGCAGGGCAGUGUGGCAUUAUCUCUUAAUAAAAUAAUCCAUGAAGCAGGUGAGGACAUUUUGCCCCAGGAGCCAUGCAAGACUACAACUAGACCAGAUGGGGGCAGUGGUACAUCUCAACUCCACUGAUCGUUCACCCAAAACCAUCCAAACACUCCAAGAUAACACACACUGCCCUACUGCUGUCAACAUUUCCUUUUCUUCCCCUUUCAAACAGUGUCUUUAAGAGCAACACUUGCUCCUGUCUUGGCUCAAAAGAUCAGUUAAGCUCACACUACUGCAGUGAUAUUAUAUUGAGUGAGUGCAUAUAGUGUACAUAGAAUGUGUUUACAAGCAAAAAGAAUAAUUGCAAGAGCAGGAAUAAAAAAUAAAAAAACCCUGUCGGGGUUCAGGAACUGUCAGGAUCAGAAUUCAUAGAUAACACUGACAGAGAAAAACUAAAGCAAAAGCAAACAAUUAAAAAACCCUUUACAGUUUAGAACAACUGUGUAUUAGAGGUGUAACUUAAUACCAGUAUUCGGAUUUAAGCUUGAUGUAGGCGUUGUCUAAACAAAAUUAUUAUUAUUAUUAUUAUUAUUAUUAUUAUUAUUAUUAUUAUUAUUAUUAUUAGUAUUUUAAAUAUGAACCUACCACUAUGACCCAAAGAAACACUGAAAAUAAACUCAGAGGUAGCCGUGUCAACACCGUCUGUGACUUCUGGCUCUGAGAGUUCCUCAAACUCAGCUACAUCACUGGUGUUAAUAACUACAGAUGUAUGCAUGACUGUUUUUAAUCCUGCUUGUGCAAUUAUUAGGGCCAAGCAUCGCAGGUGUGUAGGCACCUAUUGUAACUGUUUGUGUCUGGCAUGCUUGGCCCCAUAAUUGCUGCUUGCUGCUUUGUUUGUAUCUGUCUGCGAUCUUUUCUUACAAAUUUAGUUCUUCAAUUUCCCAAAAUAUAAACAAACUACUAGCCUACUUGAAACCAUUGUGACUCUGAUCAGGCAGUUACUAAGAAUGAAUGAAUGAACAGUGCAUGUUAAUGAAUGUGAUAUUUCUUCAUACUUGGACUUUUAAUCUUCUUUAGACACCAUUUGCUUUGUUCUGUUAUAUUUAAUUUAAAUGUGAUUGUAAGAUCCCAGCACAAUGUUUACUGUUGUUGUCUUUUACGGAUCAGUGCCAGACAUUAUUCCAGUCAGUGCAACUUUCUAAUUUGUUUGUUAUGUUUACUACUGGUUUUCACAAUAGAGCACAUAAUAUUGAAGUGGAGGAAAAUCAGUAUAGUUUACAAAUCAGUUAUUUACAUAUCUAAACCAUGAAAAUUUUGAUUGCAUAAGUGUUCACUGAACAUUUUGGCCUUGACACAAAGUGUUAUGUUUGGCUGAAACCUAACACAUUGCACAGUGAAGCAUGGUUGUGGUAGCGUCAUGUGUUUUUCAUCAGUAGGGACUGUGAUACUGGUCAGGGUUGUGGACAAGAUGGAUGGAUCCAAUUUCAGAGAAAUACUAGAAGAAAACCUGUUCCAGUCUGCAAGAAACUUGGGACUAUGGCAGUAGUUCACCUUCCAAAGGAUUAGAACUCUAAGCAUAUUGCCAAAGCUACAAUGGAGUAAUUCAAAACCAAGAAC